AGCUGUGCUGCGGAUUGCCACC
rnacentral:miRNA from 9 species